GAUGAAGAACGUAGUGAAAUGCGAUAAGUAAUGUGAAUUGCAGAAUUCAGUGAAUCAUCGAAUCUUUGAACGCAUCUUGCGCUCCUUGGUAUUCUGAGGAGCAUGCCUGUUUGAGUGUCAUUAAAUUCUCAACUACACUGACUUUGAAUUGGUGUGGCUUGGAUUUGGGGGGAAAAUUGUUGUGGGCUUUUUGUAUAGUCUGCUCCCCUGAAAUUGAUUAGCGGUACCUUUGUGGAAUUGUCUACAGGUGUGAUAAUUAUCUACAUCUUAGACAUCUGCUGGAAUGCUGCUUUCUAAACCUUACUUGUAUUGACAAUCUUGACCUCAAAUCAGGUAGGACUACCCGCUGAACUUAAGCAUAUCAAUAAGCGGAGGA
rnacentral:misc_RNA from 1 species